GGACUACAGGGGUAUCUAAUCCUGUUUGCUCCCCACGCUUUCGCGCCUCAGCGUCAGUAUCGGUCCAGAGAGCCGCCUUCGCCACUGGUGUUCUUCCCAAUAUCUACGAAUUUCACCUCUACACUGGGAAUUCCACCCUCCUCUCCCGAUCUCUAGCUCAACAGUCCCAAAUGCAAUUCCCAGGUUAAGCCCGGGGCUUUCACAUCUGACUUGUCAAGCCGCCUGCGCGCCCUUUACGCCCAGUAAUUCCGAACAACGCUUGCCCCCUUCGUAUUACCGCGGCUGCUGGCAC
rnacentral:rRNA from 1 species